rfam:Aedes aegypti strain Liverpool supercont1.68 genomic scaffold, whole genome shotgun sequence.
CCUCUCGUGGUGUAGGGGUAACGCGCCCUAUCUAGUGAACAGGCAGUCGUGAGUUUGAUUCUCACCGAGAAGA